GCCGGUCCUCGGUAGUGGCCCCCGGGCCCCACGGGACGCAGUCCCAGGGGUGCACCCGGGUGCUUCGAUCGAAGACCGGC
rfam:Streptomyces kanasensis strain ZX01 contig00060, whole genome shotgun sequence.